GAAGUUCUCACACGGAGCAGAAACGAUUCCGAGACUUGUUGUUGUGUUAAGUAGGUGAAGUGGGAAACUCUCACAAGGAGCAGAACGAAUCAGAGGUUGCGAGUUCUUCGAGUAGGCUUUUGGUUGUUUCUUCCGGUGGUGAGCCUCAUUCUGGUGUUACGGUUGAGCAGCGGCGUGGCAGCGGCGGAGCAGCGGUCCCUCCGACCCGGGUCGGGGGAAGAACCCGGGGGUUAAGCGCUCAAGAACUGGUAAUAACCAGAGAACAAUUCCCAAAAUGGUUAGUGAAUUCAAAAAGCGUGGACUUUUUACUGUGUUUUUUCCAAAACAGGGGAAGAUUCGGUUUGC
rnacentral:lncRNA from 1 species